UACGUAGGGUGCGAGCGUUGUCCGGAAUUAUUGGGCGUAAAGGGGCUCGUAGGCGGUUUGUCGCGUCGGGAGUGAAAACACACAGCUUAACUGUGUGCUGGCUUCCGAUACGGGCAGACUAGAGGUAUGCAGGGGAGAACGAAUUCCUGGUGUAGCGGUGAAAUGCGCAGAUAUCAGGAGGAACACCGGUGGCGAAGGCGGGUCUCUGGGCAGUAACUGACGCUGAGGAGCGAAAGCGUGGGGAGCGAACAGG
rnacentral:rRNA from 1 species